GCCCUAGUAACGGCGAGUGAAGCGGCAACAGCUCAAAUUUGAAAUCUGGCCCUUGGGUCCGAAUUGUAAUUUGUAGAGGAUGAUUUUGGUGCGGUAUCUUCCGAGUUCCUUGGAACAGGACGCCUUAGAGGGUGAGAGCCCCGUACGGUUGAAUGCCUAGCCUUUGUAAAUCUCCUUCGACGAGUCGAGUAGUUUGGGAAUGCUGCUCUAAAUGGGAGGUAAAUUUCUUCUAAAGCUAAAUACUGGCCAGAGACCGAUAGCGCACAAGUAGAGUGAUCGAAAGAUGAAAAGCACUUUGAAAAGAGGGUUAAAUAGCACGUGAAAUUGUUGAAAGGGAAGGAUUUAUGACCAGACUUUUUCUGGGCGGAUCAUCCGGUGUUCUCACCGGUGCACUUUGCCCAGUUUAGGCCAGCAUCGAUUUUCGGAGAGGGAUAAAAGCUUUGGGAAUGUGGCUCCCCCGGGAGUGUUAUAACCCAUUGUAUAAUACCUUUUUGGGGAUCGAGGUACGCGCUUCUGCAAGGAUGCUGGCGUAAUGGUUAUCAAUCACCCGUCUUGAAACACGGACCAAGGAGUCGAACAUUUGUGCGAGUGUUUGGGUGUUAAACCCUCACGCGUAAUGAAAGUGAACGGAGGUGAGAGCCCUUACGGGUGCAUCAUCGACCGAUCCUGAAGUUUUCGGAUGGAUUUGAGUAAGAGCAUAACUGUUCGGACCCGAAAGAUGGUGAACUAUGCGUGGAUAGGGUGAAGCCAGAGGAAACUCUGGUGGAGGCUCGCAGCGGUUCUGACGUGCAAAUCGAUCGUCAAAUCUGCGCAUGGGGGCGAAAGACUAAUCGAA
rnacentral:rRNA from 1 species